GACGUAGGGUGCAAGCGUUGUCCGGAUUUAUUGGGCGUAAAGAGCGUGUAGGCGGCUUGGUAGGUCUCGCGUCAAAACCUGAGGCUCAACCUCAGUUCGCGUGGGAAACCACCUAGCUAGAGUCCGGAAGAGGAGAACGGAAUUCCCAGUGUAGCGGUGAAAUGCGCAGAUAUUGGGAAGAACACCAGUGGCGAAGGCGGUUCUCUGGGACGGUACUGACGCUGAGACGCGAAAGCGUGGGGAGCGAACAGG
rnacentral:rRNA from 1 species